GCGGAAGUGGCGAAAUUGGUAGACGCACCAGAUUUAGGUUCUGGCGCCGCGAGGCGUAAGAGUUCAAGUCUCU
rnacentral:tRNA from 1 species